GGCGAGAAGUCAGAAGUUUCUCCCAUUCUCAAAAUAUUGAACGCGACGUGACGGCUCCAAAAUGAAGCUAUUUUGCGUUAUUUUGCUUGUUUACGUGGUGGCUUUGACAUUGUUCGGCGUGGACGGACGUGGUGGCGGUCACGGUGGCGGUGGCUCCAAAAUGGGCUUGGAGGAGCCGAUGCGCCUCUUUGUCAGGACGCGUCGCCAAUUAAGCGUUAAUGAAGAGGAAUUGAUGCGGCGACGCCUCCUGGAUUAUAAGCGUUUACUUAUGGAAUUUUGCCAAUGCCUACUAAUUCUAGGCACGGCGCCAUGUCCACAAUCAUAAAAAGGGACUCGAGAGCGGAUCGGCUUAUGUCAACAACGAGCAACCGCCACCACCCCCACCGCAUUUUAGACAACGCCGCCAGAUUCCACCACCACCUGAGGGAAUGCCACCACCGCCUGAUGGAGUACCUGCACCACCCGCGGGUAUGCCAGCACCGCCGCAUUAAGGAUAAGGAAUAGCUAAAUAUUAUUUACGUACAUAUAUCAUAUAGUAAGGCGCUUGUGUAGGGGUUAGGGAACCACGACAAAAAAGGAAUUAGCCGUUAAAUAAAAUAUGUUUCAAGCAUUCCAAAAAAGCA